GUGUUCACUUUGGCAGCACAUACACUAAAAUUGGAAUGACACAGAGAAAAUUAGCUUGGCCCAUGCGCAAGGAUGACACACAAAUUCUUGAAACGUUCCAUAUUUUU
ensembl:snRNA U6 U6 spliceosomal RNA